CCUACGGGUGGCUGCAGUGGGGAAUUUUGCACAAUGGGCGAAAGCCUGAUGCAGCUACGCCGCGUGAGCGAUGAAGGCCUUCGGGUCGUAAAGCACUGUUCUCAAGGAAGAUAAUGACAUUACUUGAGGAGGAAGCCCCGGCAAACUCCUUGCCAGCAGCCGCGGUCAUACGUAGGGGGCUAGCGUUAUCCGGAAUUACUGGGCGUAGAGGGUGCGUAGGUGGUUUCUUAAGUCAGAGGGAAAAGGCUGCGGCUAAACCGUAGGAGGCCUUUGACACUGGGAAACUAGAGUGCAGGAGAGGAGGGUGGAAUUCCUAGUGUAGCAGUGAAAUGCGUAGAUAUUAGGAAGAACACCAGUGGCGAAGGCGGCUCUCUGGACUGUAACUGACACUGAGGCACGAAAGCGUGGGGAGCAAACAGGAUUAGAUACCCGAGUAGUC
rnacentral:rRNA from 1 species